UGGCUUGUAUAAUAUCAGCUUCGAAACUCAUAAACUAUUACGAAACUCAUAAACUGUGUCCAUCCAGUUGUUUUCAAUACACCUCUCUCUCUCUAAACGCGGACUUUCUUCUCCGACUGCUCCGGCGCCGUUUCACCACGACUCAUAUCCUUCCAUUUUCUCCCCUUCUGAUGAUUCUUGUGCAGCAAUUUGUGAAGAUUUUUAUAUCGGGAAAUUAUUAAUCUGCUAAUCGCUAACCCUACAGAUUUUAAUUAAUUUCUCUACGGUAUCUUUUUAUUUUCUUAAAAUUUGGUGUUGUUGUAUUCUUAACUAUAAGUAACGAGGAAAUCAAAGGGAAAAGAUCGAGAAAGUGCUCAAGCUCGUAAUGCCAAAGGCAAAAUUAAAGAUGAUGGGUUGACCCCUGAGCAGCGUCGUGAAAGGUGCCCCUGUUUUGAUAUUAUGUUCUGAUUUUUACCAGAUUCUAUUUUUUCUUGUUUUAGUUUAAUUUUUUGAUAUGAUCUGAAUGCCAUGGUGAUUGUUGUAGUAUACAAUAUGGUGUUAUGCUUCAAGAUUUACCUAAUUCAUCGUGUUUCCAGCCUCGUUGAUUUGUAAAUAUCUGUAUUCAGUUGUAAUGUGUGAGAUUAAUUUUCUGUAGAGCCAGCCUUGUUCCUUGAUUGAUGUAUUGGUAUUUACUGAUAUGCAGAUUUGGAUUAUUCGUUUCUACAAAAAUGUGAUUAUGAUUGUUAGAUUUGAUUAUUAGGUGAAUUUUUGAACAAACAUGACGUAUUUUGUUAUUUUUUUUUUUUAAUUAAUCUAUUGACAUAUGGUAUCAUCCUUGCUAUUAGAUUUGACAUUUAGAUGAAUUUAUGUACAAAAGACAUUAUUUAUGAUUGAGAAAUAGUAUUGCUGUGGCUGCUGGAUUUAACAUUUAGAUGACGAUAAGUAGCUGGUGUGGCACACACCAAUUCAGUUAUUUCUUUGGUAGUUGGAUCUUUUAUCUAAUAAUAUCAUGCUUUCGUGUCUGCCCUUGUGAUCAAACAGAGACGCGAAGGCGCUUCAGGAGAAGACCGCGAAGAAGGCAGCUCAGGCGGCAGGGGGGUAGUGAUGCUGGAGGUAAGAGCAUCAAAAAAUAGGGAAUUCUCUGGUUGAUGAUUUUCUCGAUUCGAGUUAUUGUAACCCUCUCGUAAACUCUUCUGUGUUUUCAUAUGUAAUGGUGAACUAUCAUUCUAUGGCACUCUUUUCCAAUGAAGUAUAAGUGAAGAAAUACUACAAUUGUUAUCUAUUACUAUCUUUAAGGUUUUGAGUUUAGUUGCCGCUAGCAUAACAUGCAUAAUUUUGUUUGAUAUAUGUCUGAAAUAUAUAAGAUAAGG
rnacentral:lncRNA from 1 species